UGAUAAAAUGUAGCCACCAGUAACAAUCUCCACUUGCCUGUAACCCCAGCAUUUGGUAAAUUGAGGCAGGAGGAUCAAGAGUUCAAGGCUAACCUGGCCUACAAAGUAAGACAGUUUCUCCAUAAACCAAUAACACAAAACUACACCAAGCCACUUACUUAGGAAUUUUCAUUAACAGACAUAAGCAUACAGUGGCAUUUUGUGGGAGAUAAGAACACGCCAGGAAAUUUGGCAAAGUAGAGCUGGUAGAGACCCGGAAACUCAGUGGGCACAUACCUUGGGUGACUCCCAGCUCCCUGCCAGACUCCUGACUUGGAACAUGUGCCAUGCUUCUCACAUAAAAGGAACCAUGUCUUAUGGUCACAUAGGCUCAAAACAGAGUUCUCCAUGCUAAUGAGGUACCUAGAGGCCCGGAGGGCUUAGCCAACAAGCUUCCCUUCCCAAACAUUUCACCCUCCAAAAGGUAUUUAAUCUCAGACCUACCCUGAUAAAUUAGGUAUGGUUUUACACAUCUAUUUUUUGCCAUGACCAUAAACUCUUUAGAACCAUGGGCUGUCUCUUUUCAUCAAGAUCCACUGUGGGGAGCCAUUAAGAAGGCCUUUGCCUACAGAGCUGCAGCCUAAUCAUCCAUAGAAGGCCACUCUAUACUCCCAGCCACAACUGCCACCAAGCCUGCCUCCACCAAGACUCUGUCCUCUGCUCUUCCAUGACUCCCAGAAGCUCCUGGAUGUCCAAGAGUCUGAGAAUCACAAGACCCUGGCCUCAUUGCAGGCCCACUUUUCCCACAUCUCAGACUGCUCUUUGCCACCCCUGGAACAGUUCCUCUGAGCUUGCCUAAGGCCCAGCACUCACCUGACAUCAGCAUGGUGGAAACCACAGAGAGCUCUGAUCCAUGGACCUGUACAAAAGCCUGGGCUGACAUAUCAAUUUGAUCUCAUCACCCUGAGAAAACAGAAUCUCGAAUGCUAUCCUCAGAGCUGCCGGCAAAGGGGACAAACAGAAUGAAGAUGCAGCAUAUGAGCUAAUUUGCAUGCCCCUCUUUCACUCUGAGCUUGGAUGUAUUGAGAGAAAAAUGUUCAAUGCAACCAUUAUAAAAGAGGGGAUGAUGCUAAUGGAAACCUCUUUUGGAUGCGAUGCUUUAAGUCUUCAACAGGUGAUACAUGUUUGUAUAAGGGCUGUACUCAAUAUUUUCUUCACUAAUUUUAUUGUUUCUCUUUAAGAAAAAAUUUGAGAGACCACCAAUGUUAGUCAAUACUUGUUUAGUUCUCUUUACCUUUCUCCUUUGGAACAACUCAAGGCCCUACCAAUACUUUGAGAGGAAUUUUCCCCCUCUUCUUUCAUAUGUACUUCAUCCAAACACUCUACUUUCCCAUGUCUUCUAGAAACCAAAACCUUCUGGGUUUUGACCCAGUUCCACCAUUUAACUUUCUGCCUUUCCUACCUAGAAUAUUGCUGCAUUCUUCAGAAUCAGACCUCUCUUUGCUGAAUAUACAAGGGAGGAAUAUUGAUAGCUGUAUGUUGAAAAUAUGAAAUACUCAGAUGGCUGUCCAUAAGGAUUAAGAAUUAUUGACUUAAUCAGAUAGACGUCAUCUGCAGAUACCUCAAAAGCUGACCAAAUGUUAAAAACAUUCAGCUGGAUAUAGGUACUAUGACAUUUUGUGUCUUUAUUAGCUAGGAAGGAACCAAGAAAAUCAUAAUUUUAGACAGGCAAAGAAUGUAAAAAAAUGAGAAUGAACUAGAAAAGCAGGGAAAUUAAUGCCCCCACUACGUAAGUAUCAACCACAAAGAAGAAAAAAUUAAAAAAAAACAUUCCCUAGAAAAUACUCUAGUAAUAAGCAGCAGGGUUUAGAAUGAGCGACUAGAUAUCAGCAAGUGCAUCUGGUCUGCUCCGUACACAAUGCAGAACCCUUGCAGACAAUACAUUUUCAUUUUCACUGUUCCAUGAUAAAAUAAUAUGUGGCAAGGGGGAAGAAUUCAAGACAGGAAUUUAAAAGACUUAUCUCAGAAUUCACUCUGAGAGAAGAUACGUUUAAUAUAUGUGAGUUUUAAAAAGGCUUCACUUGGAGUGUCAACACAAUAACAAGACAAAGAAUUAAAUGCUCAAGGGAUACUAACUCAAUGGUAAGAAAUCAGUAAACAGCUAAUUAGCCUGGGUCCAUACCCCAGCAUUUGCCAUUAUCGCCUAAUGAUAGAUCCUCUCCUUGUCAUUGAGAUAUUAACAGUACUUAUGCAAAAAGUCAUUAAAAAUAGUUUUCUGUGUUUGCUUUUAUCUUACUAUUUACUCACCUACAGGGCCACAUUUUAAUGAGAUUUUCAUAAAAUUUUCUCCAUCAUUUGCUAGAUUUAUAAAAUCAAGCCUAUCUUAUAGUAAAGGGAAUUCUUGGAAACAAAACAAGAAAGAAACACAGAAAACUGGGAAGCUCUAUGAAAGACUUCAAAAAAUAUUUGCAAAGAACCUUAAUGGUUAGCAGAAGGGAUAAAAUGUCUUGUACAGUUGAAGAGUAAGGGACAAAAGGCAGGAAGAAUAUUGCCAUCACAAUACAUAUAAAAUCAGAGGGCUAGGAAAGGAAACAUAAAGGCCUAUAUUGAGUUAACGUUUUUAAUAUCUUCACAUAAUUCACAAUAAGAAAGAUGUAAAUGCUUUGCAAAGUGUCUAUUCACAUUCCCACAGGAAACUACAGUCCCGAGUCUUGCCAUACAUUGCCGUAUGAAAUCACAGCAGGCAAAUUAUAGAUACCUGGUGUAUAUCAAUAAAUAAGUCACUGAAUGGAACUAUGAUUUAAAGUAAAUUUGCCAGAAUAGGAACUGUGGAUUUGAACAGUAGUCAUCAUUUUUCCUGAGGUUUAUUGUUUCCUUCAUUAUUUAAUUCAUAAAUAUUUAAAAUGCACACAGAAGAUAAACAUUUUGGGCCAAAACUAAUGCACAAGGCAGCAGAAUGGGUGGGGUCUGUGAUGUUAUUCAACAAAACAAGGAAAUUUAUUUUUUCAAAAAGCUGAUAUAAAUUAACUGUUUUUUCAGAUCCUGAAAAAAAUUCUAAAAUAGAAAAAGAAGGAGAAUUAGCGCUAAGACACCAAAAGAGGGGAAGAUAGAGAAGAUUGGAUUAUCUGGAAAACACAGUGGUCUUCCUGAAUCCCAGUUCUCUCUUCUGUUAAAUGAGAAGCCAGAGAUCCAGCUCUAACAUUCUACGGAGCUAACCUCUUUAGACCACCUAUUCCUAACCCAGCCAUGAUGUGAGCAUGCGAGAAGACCUUGUAAAACCUCCAGGAAGCACGGCAGACAGACAUAAAUAGAGUUUAUAAUGAGAAACAGCAGCACAUAAAUAAGAGAAGUUGGCGAAACCACAUCCUUUAUAAAAGUGGAGGGGCUGUGGUCUAGAGCAAGUAAGACACACAGAGUGAGAGAGAGAGAGAGAGAGAGAGAGAGAGAGAGAGAGAGAGAGAGAGAGAGAGAGAGAUAACUUCCCCCAUGUCACCCUCAAUAACAAUGCUAAUUACCUGAUGGAAACGGCAUCCAGACAGCCUAAAAUUGUUAGGUUUCCACAGUAUCACUGAUCUGAUGCAGACAGCAAAAUUAGAUUUCUAAAAUAUGCCUAUUAAAUGAAAGGCAUUCAGAAAGCACACCCCACAAGAAAGUCAAGUAGUGAGGUUGCCAUGAAAUUCAAACGAGAGGGGGAAAGAAGUUGUGUUUUGACAGUGGGUUUGAAAAGGUUUCAUUCAAAUAUCACCAUUAACCUUGUUUUCUCAUUUCAGAACGUCGUUCAUUACCUUUCUGUUUCAACCUCCAGGUUGAGUCACAGCCACUACCGCUGUUCUUUGACAACUGAGAUGCCUGACAAAGUGUAGUCAUUUUCAGAUUUAAAGAGUGAAAAUAAAAGCUUCUAAAAUUA